UGGUUACAAUNUGAACUAUUGCUGACACA
rnacentral:piRNA from 1 species